rnacentral:rRNA from 1 species
GCCCACUGAUAAUUAUUAAAGGGCCGCAGUAUUUUGACUGUGCGAAGGUAGCAUAAUCAAUAGUCUUUUAAUUGAAGGCUUGUAUGAAUGGUUGAAUGAGAUAUAUACUGUCUUUUUUAAAAUUUUAUAGAAUUUUAUUUUUUAAUUAAAAAGUUAAAAUGUAAUUAAAAGACGAGAAGACCCUAUAGAUCUUUAUUUUUUUUUAAUUAUGAAUUAAAAAGAAUAUUUAAAUUUAUAAUUUAAUAAAAAAUUUUACUGGGGUGGUAUUAAAAUUUAAUUAACUUUUAUUAUUUAUUUACAUUAAUAUAUGAAUAUUUGAUCCAAUAGUAUUGAUUAAAAAAUUAAGUUACCUUAGGGAUAACAGCGUAAUUUUUUUUUAGAGUUCUUAUCGACAAAAAAGAUUGCGACCUCGAUGUUGGAUUAAGAGUUAUUUUUAGGUGUAGAAGUUUAAAGUUUAGGUCUGUUCGACCUUUGAAUUCUUACAUGAUCUGAGUUCAAACCGGCGUAAGCCAGGUUGGUUUCUAUCUUUAAUUAAUUAUUAUAUUAUAGUACGAAAGGACCUAAUAUAAAAAAUAUAAAUUUUAAAAUUAUGAAUUAUAUUAAUAUUUAAUAAAACUAUUUUGGCAGAUUAGUGCAAUAAAUUUAGAAUUUAUUUAUAUAAUUUAAUUAAUUAUAAAUAGUAUUGUUUUAUAUGGAUUAUUUAUUAUCAUUAAUUGGAAGAUUAUUAUUAAUAAUUUGUGUAUUAGUAGGGGUUGCUUUUUUAACUUUAUUAGAGCGAAAAGUUUUAGGGUAUAUUCAAAUUCGU